rnacentral:tRNA from 1 species
AGGAUAAUAGUUAAAAUUUUAUAACAUUUAAUUUGCAAUUAAAAAUUAUUAUAUUUGAAUAAUUUAUCUUA